AUUAUUUAAUUUUGACUUAUGGUAACUUAAAAAGCCAUUUGACUGGAAAUGAUGAAAAACAAUUGAUCAACAUGACAAUCCAGUGGGAGAAAAGCAAAGCAAAACCAGACCUGGACUGAGGAAAUCGAGGAGCAGUGCCUUUAAAGAGAACAGAGGUUCAAACAAAGUAAUGAAGACUUACAUUAACCACACCUGGAUCAUGAAAUCCCUUCUGCAGUGAAGACCUUGAGGAAAUCGUUUAGAGAACAGUACAAAAUCAGGGAGCUGUUCUACUUUUGCCAGGAUUUCAGCUAACUUUAGUGAAAUGAAUAUUGAUACCAGAUCUCACAGUGUACCAAGGCUUCCCUCAUUAUCUCAUGAUGCACCAGCCACUGGGUAGUAAUAUAUGCGCUAAACUUACAGAAAUA